rnacentral:rRNA from 1 species
CCAGACUCCUACGGGAGGCAGCGGUGGGGAAUAUUGCACAAUGGGGGAAACCCUGAUGCAGCGACGCCGCGUGAGUGAAGAAGUAUUUCGGUAUGUAAAGCUCUAUCAGCAGGGAAGAAAAUGACGGUACCUGACUAAGAAGCCCCGGCUAACUACGUGCCAGCAGCCGCGGUAAUACGUAGGGGGCAAGCGUUAUCCGGAUUUACUGGGUGUAAAGGGAGCGUAGACGGCAUGGCAAGUCAGAUGUGAAAGCCCGGGGCUCAACCCCGGGACUGCAUUUGAAACUGUCAGGCUGGAGUGCAGGAGAGGUAAGUGGAAUUCCUAGUGUAGCGGUGAAAUGCGUAGAUAUUAGGAGGAACACCAGUGGCGAAGGCGGCCUGCUGGACGACAACUGACGGUGAGGCGCGAAAGCGUGGGGAGCAAACAGGAUUAGAUACCCGGGUAAA